rnacentral:rRNA from 1 species
GUGGGGAAUUUUGGACAAUGGGCGAAAGCCUGAUCCAGCCAUGCCGCGUGCAGGAUGAAGGCCUUCGGGUUGUAAACUGCUUUUGUACGGAACGAAAAGACUCCUUCUAAUAAAGGGGGUCCAUGACGGUACCGUAAGAAUAAGCACCGGCUAACUACGUGCCAGCAGCCGCGGUAAUACGUAGGGUGCAAGCGUUAAUCGGAAUUACUGGGCGUAAAGCGUGCGCAGGCGGUUAUAUAAGACAGAUGUGAAAUCCCCGGGCUCAACCUGGGAACUGCAUUUGUGACUGUAUAGCUAGAGUACGGUAGAGGGGGAUGGGAUUCCGCGUGUAGCAGUGAAAUGCGUAGAUAUGCGGAGGAACACCGAUGGCGAAGGCAAUCCCCUGGACCUGUACUGACGCUCAUGCACGAAAGCGUGGGGAGCAAACAGGAUUAGAUACCCGUGUAGUCC